AUUGAACGCUGGCGGCAGGCCUAACACAUGCAAGUCGAGCGGAUGAAGGGAGCUUGCUCCUGGAUUCAGCGGCGGACGGGUGAGUAAUGCAUAGGAAUCUGCCUGGUAGUGGGGGAUAACGUCCGGAAACGGGCGCUAAUACCGCAUACGUCCUGAGGGAGAAAGUGGGGGAUCUUCGGACCUCACGCUAUCAGAUGAGCCUAGGUCGGAUUAGCUAGUUGGUGGGGUAAAGGCCUACCAAGGCGACGAUCCGUAACUGGUCUGAGAGGAUGAUCAGUCACACUGGAACUGAGACACGGUCCAGACUCCUACGGGAGGCAGCAGUGGGGAAUAUUGGACAAUGGGCGAAAGCCUGAUGCAGCCAUGCCGCGUGUGUGAAGAAGGUCUUCGGAUUGUAAAGCACUUUAAGUUGGGAGGAAGAGCAGUAAGUUAAUACCUUGCUGUUUUGACGUUACCAACAGAAUAAGCACCGGCUAACUACGUG
rnacentral:rRNA from 1 species